rnacentral:rRNA from 1 species
UACGAAGGGAGCUAGCGUUGUUCGGAAUCACUGGGCGUAAAGCGCACGUAGGCGGAUGUGUCAGUCAGGGGUGAAAUCCCGGAGCUCAACUUCGGAACUGCCUCUGAUACAGCACGUCUUGAGUCCGAUAGAGGUGGGUGGAAUUCCUAGUGUAGAGGUGAAAUUCGUAGAUAUUAGGAAGAACACCGGUGGCGAAGGCGGCCCACUGGAUCGGUACUGACGCUGAGGAGCGAAAGCGUGGGGAGCGAACAGG